rnacentral:rRNA from 1 species
AUACAUAGGGGGCGAGCGUUAUCCGGAUUUAUUGGGUUUAAAGGGAGCGUAGGUGGGAUAUUAAGUCAGCUGUGAAAGUUUGGGGCUCAACCUUAAAAUUGCAGUUGAUACUGGUUUCCUUGAGUACGGUAUAGGUGGGCGGAAUUCGUGGUGUAGCGGUGAAAUGCUUAGAUAUCACGAAGAACUCCGAUCGCGAAGGCAGCUCACUAGACUGUUACUGACACUGAUGCUCGAAAGUGUGGGUAUCAAACAGGAUUAGAUACCCUGGUAGUCCACACAGUAAACGAUGAAUACUCGCUGUUUGCGAUAUACAGUAAGCGGCCAAGCGAAAGCAUUAAGUAUUCCACCUGGGGAGUACGCCGGCAACGGUGAAACUCAAAGGAAUUGACGGGG